rnacentral:rRNA from 1 species
AGAGUUUGAUCAUGGCUCAGAACGAACGCUGGCGGCAGGCUUAACACAUGCAAGUCGAGCGCGUAGCAAUACGAGCGGCAGACGGGUGAGUAACGCGUGGGAAUCUACCCAUCUCUACGGAAUAACGCAUGGAAACGUGUGCUAAUACCGUAUACGCCCUUCGGGGGAAAGAUUUAUCGGAGAUGGAUGAGCCCGCGUUGGAUUAGCUAGUUGGUGGGGUAAAGGCCUACCAAGGCGACGAUCCAUAGCUGGUCUGAGAGGAUGAUCAGCCACAUUGGGACUGAGACACGGCCCAAACUCCUACGGGAGGCAGCAGUGGGGAAUAUUGGACAAUGGGCGCAAGCCUGAUCCAGCCAUGCCGCGUGAGUGAUGAAGGCCUUAGGGUUGUAAAGCUCUUUCACCGGAGAAGAUAAUGACGGUAUCCGGAGAAGAAGCCCCGGCUAACUUCGUGCCAGCAGCCGCGGUAAUACGAAGGGGGCUAGCGUUGUUCGGAAUUACUGGGCGUAAAGCGCACGUAGGCGGAUCGAUCAGUCAGGGGUGAAAUCCCAGAGCUCAACUCUGGAACUGCCUUUGAUACUGUCGAUCUAGAGUAUGGAAGAGGUGAGUGGAAUUCCGAGUGUAGAGGUGAAAUUCGUAGAUAUUCGGAGGAACACCAGUGGCGAAGGCGGCUCACUGGUCCAUUACUGACGCUGAGGUGCGAAAGCGUGGGGAGCAAACAGGAUUAGAUACCCUAGUAGUCC